UACCUAGCAUAGCAGCACCCCAACCGCACAAACUUUAAUAUUACAUACCCCCUUUUAUUGUAAGAAAAAAUUAAGAGUACUUAGAAAAAUAUACUAAGGUGACUCCAGGAUAAAUGGACAAUCUGAGCUGGCCUUAACCUCCAGCUUUGGAUGGUGUUUCAAUCUCCUCUACACUGUUUUAAUGGGACUGAUGUUUUAGGUCUUGUUUUUAUGAGGGUCUAGAUAUGUAGCCUAGAUUAGACUUGAAUGCAAUCCUCCCUAAUCUGGCUACUGAGAUUGCAGCAUAAACCUGGAACCUUGUUUACAUUGACUUUCCUUUGUUUGGUCUGUAUAGCCUGGGGGUAUCCCUGCCUGGCCUUUGCUGUCUCCUUUGUGGGGAGAGACUUGCCCCUGAUUGCCUGUCUUUAAUUCACUUUUAAAAUUUCAGGCUGUAAACUUGAACACGUUUGGCUUCUUCCUUUUUUGUUUGUUUUCCUCCACCCCCUGUUGUUUUAACCCAGCCGAGUUGGGUUAUUUUCUUUAGGAAAUCCAGGACUGGAGUGUGAAGUCUGGAGUUUGAAAGAAGGGUGUUCUUAUCAGUGACUGAUUGUCCUGUCUUCCUAACGUGAGGUGGUCAAGUCAGAUUAGGAGGCCCAAUACACUUUCUACUGGGUUUCUGAAGAGUGGACGAACUCCCCGAUGUAUACGUUGUUCGUAGAUGGAGUGCGAGAUCCAAUGGUGCCUAAAGGUACCAUGACCUCACAGGACUGGUGUUUGUUAGUUUUGGGGGGUUUUUUUGGUGGGGGGAUGUUGAUAGCAAGACCAAGAUUUAUACCAAUCAUUUUCACCUGAACCUUGGAAUUAUUUAAGGAAUAGCUUGAAGAGACUAAACAACAUGAAGGAUCAUGUGGCCACAGGCAACCAGGACUCAAGCUAAGGGCUCCAGGUAACUGUACAGAAAACACAGCACAGGUGCCAAAAAUCCACAACUUAUGUAAACUGUAGAGAUGAUUCAGUCAAUAAAGUACUUGCCCUGU
rnacentral:lncRNA from 1 species